GCUUGCGGGGGGAUUAGUGGCGAACGGGUGAGUAACACGUGAGUAACCUGCCCUUAACUCUGGGAUAAGCCUUGGAAACGAGGUCUAAUACUGGAUAUUGACUUUACCUCGCAUGGGGUUUUGUUGAAAGAUUUAUUGGUUUUGGAUGGACUCGCGGCCUAUCAGCUUGUUGGUGAGGUAAUGGCUCACCAAGGCGACGACGGGUAGCCGGCCUGAGAGGGUGACCGGCCACACUGGGACUGAGACACGGCCCAGACUCCUACGGGAGGCAGCAGUGGGGAAUAUUGCACAAUGGGCGAAAGCCUGAUGCAGCGACGCCGCGUGAGGGAUGACGGCCUUCGGGUUGUAAACCUCUUUCAGUAGGGAACAAGGCCAGCAUUUUUGUUGGUUGAGGGUACUUGCAGAAGAAGCGCCGGCUAACUACGUGCCAGCAGCCGCGGUAAUACGUAGGGCGCAAGCGUUAUCCGGAAUUAUUGGGCGUAAAGAGCUCGUAGGCGGUUUGUCGCGUCUGCCGUGAAAGUCCGGGGCUCAACCCCGGAUCUGCGGUGGGUACGGGCAGACUAGAGUGAUGUAGGGGAGACUGGAAUUCCUGGUGUAGCGGUGAAAUGCGCAGAUAUCAGGAGGAACACCGAUGGCGAAGGCAGGUCUCUGGGCAUUAACUGACGCUGAGGAGCGAAAGCAUGGGGAGCGAACAGGAUUAGAUACCCUGGUAGUCCAUGCCGUAAACGUUGGGCACUAGGUGUGGGGGACAUUCCACGUUUUCCGCGCCGUAGCUAACGCAUUAAGUGCCCCGCCUGGGGAGUACGGCCGCAAGGCUAAAACUCAAAGGAAUUGACGGGGGCCCGCACAAGCGGCGGAGCAUGCGGAUUAAUUCGAUGCAACGCGAAGAACCUUACCAAGGCUUGACAUGAACUGGAAAUACCUGGAAACAGGUGCCCCGCUUGCGGUCGGUUUACAGGUGGUGCAUGGUUGUCGUCAGCUCGUGUCGUGAGAUGUUGGGUUAAGUCCCGCAACGAGCGCAACCCUCGUUCUAUGUUGCCAGCACGUUAUGGUGGGGACUCAUAGGAGACUGCCGGGGUCAACUCGGAGGAAGGUGAGGACGACGUCAAAUCAUCAUGCCCCUUAUGUCUUGGGCUUCACGCAUGCUACAAUGGCCGGUACAAUGGGUUGCGAUACUGUGAGGUGGAGCUAAUCCCAAAAAGCCGGUCUCAGUUCGGAUUGGGGUCUGCAACUCGACCCCAUGAAGUCGGAGUCGCUAGUAAUCGCAGAUCAGCAACGCUGCGGUGAAUACGUUCCCGGGCCUUGUACACACCGCCCGUCAAGUCACGAAAGUUGGUAACACCCGAAGCCGGUGGCCUAACCC
rnacentral:rRNA from 1 species